AACGAACGCUGGCGGCAGGCUUAACACAUGCAAGUCGAACGCAUGCCUUCGGGCAUGAGUGGCAGACGGGUGAGUAACGCGUGGAAACCUACCCCUUGGUACGGGAUAGCUCCGGGAAACUGGAGAUAAUACCGUAUGUGUCCUGAGGGACAAAGAUUCAUCGCCAAGGGAUGGGCCCGCGUCGGAUUAGCUAGUUGGUGGGGUAACGGCCUACCAAGGCGACGAUCCGUAGCUGGUCUAAGAGGAUGAUCAGCCACAUUGGGACUGAGACACGGCCCAAACUCCUACGGGAGGCAGCAGUGGGGAAUAUUGGACAAUGGGCGCAAGCCUGAUCCAGCCAUGCCGCGUGAGUGAUGAAGGCCCUAGGGUUGUAAAGCUCUUUCACCGGUGACGAUAAUGACGGUAACCGGAGAAGAAGCCCCGGCUAACUUCGUG
rnacentral:rRNA from 1 species